GACAGGACACAGUUAAAAAGGCCUUUUCUUCUGUUACUCGUCUAUGUCACUAUGUAACAAGGGUUAGAGUACAGCCGACCAAUCAGAGCAGACUGGGCUUUUUAGGGCGCGAAAACGGAGCGUCUCAGACAGACGGGGUACUGCAGCAACGGACACCAUCUUUAAACUGGACUUUAACGCACGUAAACCUUUUCUAGCAAGACCCCCAAAUAAAGGGACAGGUGAGGAAACAGGUGGAGAGAGGUGAGGGGACAGGUGAGUGGACAGGUGGAGACAGUAAGGGGACAGGUGAGUGGACAGGUGAAGACGGUGAGGGGACAGGUGAGGGGACAGGUGAGUGGACAGGUGGAGACAGUAAGGGGACAGGUGAGGGGACAGGUGGAGACAGUGAGGCGACAGGUGGAGACGGUGAGUGGACAGGUGAGGGGACAGGUGGAGACAGGUGAGUGGAUAGGUGGAGACAGUGAGGGGACAGGUGGGGGGACAG